rnacentral:rRNA from 1 species
AAAGGAAUAGACGGGGGCCCGCACAAGCGGCGGAGCAUGCGGUUUAAUUCGAUGCAACGCGAAGAACCUUACCUGGGCUUGACAUGUGGACGUUGGAUUCAGAGAUGGGUCUUCCCUUCGGGGCGUCUUCACAGGUGGUGCAUGGCCGUCGUCAGCUCGUGUCGUGAGAUGUUGGGUCAAGUCCCGCAACGAGCGCAACCCUCGCCCUGUGUUGCCAGCGGGUUAUGCCGGGCACUCACGGGGGACCGCCGAGGUUAACUCGGAGGAAGGUGGGGAUGACGUCAGGUCAUCAUGCCCCUUACGUCCAGGGCUACACGCAUGCUACAAUGGCCGGCACAGCGGGAUGCGAUACCGUGAGGUGGAGCGGAUCCUUUAAAGCCGGUCUCAGUUCGGAUCGAAGCCUGCAACUCGGCUUCGUGAAGGUGGAGUCGCUAGUAAUCGCGGAUCAGCAACGCCGCGGUGAAUGCGUUCCCGGGCCUUGUACACACCGCCCGU